UGACUUCACAACCUACCUGAUGGAGAGUAGCAACCAAAAUUUCAUCCAUCCAGAUAGGUUGUGAAGUCAAUACUAAAUAAGAGUUACACAGUUUGGGGAAUUGGUUCCCAUAAAAUUCAGCUACUAGAACAAAUUUUAACUGGUGCUGGAUAACUUUAUUCCACAUUCUAGAUGGUAUCUACUGUAUAUUUUAUCAUAUUGAUCACAUGGUAGAUU
rnacentral:misc_RNA from 1 species